UUGGAAUGAUUUUUGUCGAGCCUGCAACUUUUGUUGCAGAAAGCUCGACAUAGGGAUAGUGAUCCGGCGGCGGCGGCGGCGGCGGUGUUAGCUAACUUCUUAAAAGCUUUAUAUUUUAGAAGGUGGAAGACCUGGAUGCUUCAUACUUUGUAUAUAGAUGCCUCAUGUUACGAAGUUUCCGUCAGUCACAUGUCCAAUGUCCUUGACCUCAUUUUCAUGGUUCAGUGACCACUUGAAAAAAAAGUUCAAAUUUUUUGUAAUGUUGAAUUCUCUCUUAUUAUAAGUAAUAGGAUAACUAUAUUUGAUAUGUGCGUACCUUGCAAGGUCCUCAUGUCCGUCAGACAGUUUUCAGUUGACCUCGACCUCAUUUCAUGGAUCAGUGAACAAGGUUAAGUUUUGGUGGUCAAGUCCAUAUCUCAGAUACUAUAAGCAAUAGGGCUAGUAUAUUCAGUGUAUGGAAGGACUGUAAGGUGUACAUCUCCAACUGGCAGGUGUCAUCUGACCUUGACCUCAUUUUCAUGGUUCAGUGGUUAUAGUUAAAUUUUUGCGUUUUGGUCUGUUUUUCUCAUACUAUAUGCAAUAGGUCUACUAUAUUUGUUGUAUGGAACGAUUGUAAGGUGUACAUGUCUAUCGGGCAGAUGUCAUGUGACCUUGACCUCAUUUUCAUGGUUCAGUGGUCAAAGUUAAAUUUUUGUGUUUUGGUCUGUUUUUCUCAUACUAUAUGCAAUAGGUCUACUAUAUUUGUUGUAUUGAACGAUUGUAAGGUGUACAUGUCUAACGGGCAGAUGUCAUGUGACCUUGACCUCAUUUUCAUGGUUCAGUGGUCAAAGUUAAGUUUUUGAGUUUUGGUCUUUUUAUCUAAUACUAUGUGCCAUAGGUCAACUGUAUUUGGUGUAUGGAAAUAUUUUAUGAUCUUUAUGUUAGUCGCACAGGUUUUAUUUGACCGUGACCUCAUUUUCACGGUUCAUUGCACAGUGUUAAGGUUUUGUGUUUUGCCUUUUGGUCUAUUUUUCUUAAACUAUAAGUAAUCGGUCAACUAUAUAUGUUGUAUAGAAAGCAUUGUUAGCUGUACAUGUCUGCCUGGCAUGGUUCAUCUGACCUUGACCUCAUUUUCAAGGUUCAUUGGUCUUUGUUUAGUUAUCUUGGUUAAUGUUAAGUUUAUGUGACAAUUGUUAUAAAGCUUAGCUUUAUACUUAGGACUAUCAACAUAAUAUCAAUGAUUAGUAUAGAAGGCGAGACAUUUCAGCGUGUGCACUCUUGUUUCGGAUUUG
rnacentral:lncRNA from 1 species